GACGAACGCUGGCGGCGUGCUUAACACAUGCAAGUCGAACGGAAAGGCCCUGCUUUUGUGGGGUGCUCGAGUGGCGAACGGGUGAGUAACCCGUGAGUAACCUGCCCCUGACUUUGGGAUAACCUCAGGCAACUGGGGCUAAUCCCGGAUAGGAGCUCCUGCUGCAUGGUGGGGGCUGGUAAGUUUCGGCGGUUGGGGAUGGACUCGCGGCUUAUCAGCUUGUUGGUGGGGUAGUGGCUUACCAAGGCCUUGACGGGUAGCCGGCCUGGGAGGGUAACCGGCCACAUUGGGACGGAGAUACGGCCCAGACUCCAACGGGAGGCAGCAGUGGGGAAUAUUGCACAAUGGGCGGAAGCCUGAUGCAGCAACGCCGCGUGCGGGAUGACGGCCUUCGGGUUGUAAACCGCUUUCGCCUGUGACGAAGCGUGAGUGACGGUAAUGGGUAAAGAAGCACCGGCUAACUACGUG
rnacentral:rRNA from 1 species